rnacentral:rRNA from 1 species
UACAGAGGGUGCAAGCGUUGUUCGGAAUUAUUGGGCGUAAAGGGCGCGUAGGCGGUGCCACAAGUCACCUGUGAAAUCUCCGGGCUUAACUCGGAGCCUGCAGGCGAAACUGUGGUGCUGGAGUGUGGGAGAGGUGCGUGGAAUUCCCGGUGUAGCGGUGAAAUGCGUAGAUAUCUGGAGGAACACCGGUGGCGAAGGCGGCAUCCUGGACCGGCAUUGACGCUGAGGCGCGAAAGCCAGGGGAGCAAACGGG